rnacentral:lncRNA from 1 species
GGCACUCCAGGAAGAUGAAGCUUGCUUUGCUGUGACUAAAGAGAACUUGUAAGGAAGCCUGUGUCCAUAGAUUGUCAUGUGUAUGCAGCUGUAGUCUGGGAGGUCUGAUGUUAGGGAAAAAGAAGGAGGAAAGCAAGAUUAAAAAUCAUUCCUGGAAAUGCAAGAGAAAAUGUGCUGGAGUGGUGCUGUUAGUACCAGGGACACUGGACAAGAAAGAUAAGCAAGCCACUGCUGUCUGAUUCCUACAUAGCAGGUUAAAGUGUUGGAUUCAUAAUUCUCACUUCAGGAAGACUGAAAACCAGACUUUAUUCUGCUAGAUCCCAAGAUAUCAAGGAAGAGGAAAAGGGAAGAGCCCCAGGCACUAUUAAACCACAGCUACAAUCACUGCCAUUUGAAACUUCCCACCAAACAACUUUACUAUUCUGAUUUAAUUUCAACUCCCAGGGAGAGUUAGUAUUAAGAGGAAGUACCUAUCAUCCAUGAUAAUCCACCAGCUCUGGGGGUUUAGAAGGGAAAGGAUGGAGGUCUCAGUGCUUGAGGCUAGGCUGACAGCUGAGCAGGGCUCCAGCUCACCUUAAUCUCACUCCUGUGGAUGCCUGCACUAGGGGCCUGAGCAUUCUCCCAGAUCUCUGCAUAGGAGGCUGCCCUUAGGCAUUAUUAAGGUGUGAAAGCAGCAAGAAAGAGCAGAAUUAAACUGCUUUUCUCUAAUGUAUCCUUUUACAGCCCAGUGUAUUUUGCCCUAGGCUAGCCUUUUCUUCUCCUUUCACCCUCCACAUGCCAGUCCGAGACAGCCUUUCUUCUCACAGGAAUUAUUGUAUUAUUUCUUAAAUUCUUUUUUUCUUCUCCAUGGCUUUUCUAGAGGAAACCUAACAGUGUGGGUUUAUCAAUCAUUUUGACAAGACUCUGAAUUCCACUGAACAGAUUUUUGAAUAAAAAUUAUGAACAAAGAAA